UACAGAGGGGGCAAGCGUUGUUCGGAAUUACUGGGCGUAAAGGGCGCGUAGGCGGCCUGCUAAGUCGAACGUGAAAUCCCCGAGCUCAACUCGGGAACUGCGUCCGAUACUGGCAGGCUUGAAUCCGGGAGAGGGAUGCGGAAUUCCAGGUGUAGCGGUGAAAUGCGUAGAUAUGCGGAGGAACACCGAUGGCGAAGGCAAUCCCCUGGGCCUGCACUGACGCUCAUGCACGAAAGCGUGGGGAGCAAACAGG
rnacentral:rRNA from 1 species